GUGCUUGCUUCAGCAGCACAUACGUUAAAAUUGGAAUGGUACAGAGAAGAUUGUACCAUUGGCCCCUGCGCAAGGACGACACGCAAAUUCAUGAAGCGUUCCAUAUUUUU